rnacentral:lncRNA from 1 species
GCCAGCAGCUACAGCUCUGAUUCGACCCCUAGCCUGGGAACUUCCACAUGCCAUGGGCAUUGCCCUAAAAAGACACAAAAAAAAAAAAAAAAAAAAAGGCAAAAACUGAAAAACCCAAAUGUCUAUGAAUAGGAGGAUGACAACACAAUGUGAUAGGAGACUGGAGGACAGACACCAAAAUGCUGACCUGAUUAACUCUGAAGAGGCAGGUAGGACUAGUGAGUGUGGGCAAUAAAAUUCUGUAACACUGGAGUCUUUUCAACGACAACUUAAUCAUACAACUAAGACAUGAACACAAACCAAAAAUAUAAAUGUGCUAACAGAUUCCAGAUCCGGUAUCUUAAAAAAAAAAUCAACAAUUUUUUAGCAACACCAAUAACAGCGGAUGAAACAUACACUCUCUCAACAUGACUAUUACGAAAAGAAUGCUUUCACUGAAAUGUAUAGAAUAAUAUUUUUGUCAGGUUUUUAAAAAAAUAUCCAAUUACAUUUUUCUAUUUGCAACCAUUAGUGUUCCAGAGCUGUGUUCCAUGGGGAAACUGGGCCCCUCAUUACCACUGCUGUCAACAGCCCUUUAAAGACGGCAAUUCCUUAGCCAAGGCAAAGAACUACAAGUGCAACCCUAGACAGAACUCUAGAUGCAAGCAAAAGCAGAUGAAGCCCCAUUCCUGGACUUAAUUAAUAGCACAAAACCAAAGGAGGAUUUUAAAAUGCCUAUUCCAGGGCUGCUCCAGAGUUCAAAGUCCAAUAAUAGCCUACAACAUCAACUCCUUACUUGAAAGCUUUUUGUAGGACAGUAAAAAGUAUAUUCUAUCAUACAACAAUGUUCUUCUUACUGAAACUAAAGAAUAGUUCUACAACUGGUCAAAGGGGGUUAAAGGAAGGAAAGAAUCAAAAACAAUGAAGUGACUUCUGGCAUAGCCUAAAAAAAAAAAACAGAGUGAAACAAUGGAAAACUUCAACACUAAGAAUUGCUUUCUUGGGAGUUCCCGUCGUGGCGCAAAAUAUAUUUUAUAGACAUAGAGAGGAAAGGGGAGAUCCAUCUAGGAUAGAAUAUAACUAGGAGCCUCAUUCGCAUAUUCAGCUCAGCACAGACACCAUGAGCUGGGGCCCUGACCAAUCAGAGCAGAUGUCAGUCAAACAAGGGCUUGGGGAUGGGGAGUGGUGGGACAAUUAACACCAAGAGAAAACAGGAGACAAAUGUAGGGUUAUUAGGAUGAAUAAAAGUGUUAAAUCUUUAUAAGACUUUCAGCUUGAAAAAAUUUUAAUAAGAUUUAUCUCCUCUGAUCAUCACCUACCUCUGGAAGCUGGACAUUACAAUAUUCCUACGUUGAAGAAAAGGAAACCAGGACAAGUGAAGGGACUCAGCCCAGGGCACUCAGUCAGCAAAGGGAGCGAACUAUGAAGCCCAUCUCUUGACCACAGGCAGCCACGUAUUAGAUUAGAAAGUGCUUUAUAUGUCAAGAUGUUAGACUUUAUUUUAUAGGAAAUGAGUUUUCAACCAAGGAUACAACAUAAAGACUUUUAGGACAUUUCCUUAUGGUGCAGCAGGUUAAGGAUCCGACGUUGUCACUGCUGAGGCUCUGGUUACUGCUGUGGCAUGGGUUCCACACCUAGCCUGGGAACUUCUGCAUGCCAUUGGUACAGCCAAAAAAAAAAAAACCCCAAUGUUCAUCUGGGAGACAAGAGAAUUUGAUGAACUAAGGAAUGACUGAAGAGGAAAGAAAGAGUCUUAGAAGACUACUGAAAGAGUGACUACUGAAAAAUGACAAGGCGUGAGAAGGACGGUAAUGGGACCUGUAUAUGCCUGUGAUAUUAUGAUAUAAAAAAACAGAUCUAUUUGGUCUUUGUUCUUGCUCCUGGCAGAGAGCUUCCAGGACCUUUGGAGUUUCCAAAGUGACAGAGGUAACAAAAGUGUCUUUUGAUAUCCAAAGCUAACCCCUUUCAACCAUUCCUGAAUUUACCCUAAAGGUAGGGGCUGGAACCAACCCUGUGAUUAGAAGGUUGAAACUUUCAGCUCCACCUCACUCUCCUCACUCCCAAUUCAUCCCCUCCCCCUAAGGAAGACAGGGGGACUGGUUAAUGAUGGUCCCCAUUAACGGUGACCAAUGAUUUCAUGAAUCAUGCCUACAUAAUAAAACCUCCAUUAAAAACCCUAAAUGGAAGUCCCCAUUUGUGGCUAAGCAGAAAUGAACCUGACUAGUAUCCAUGAGAAUGCAAGUUUGAUCCCU